rnacentral:rRNA from 1 species
AUUGAACGCUGGCGGCAUGCUUUACACAUGCAAGUCGAACGGCAGCGCGGGCUUCGGCCUGGCGGCGAGUGGCGAACGGGUGAGUAAUGCAUCGGAACGUGCCCAGUAGUGGGGGAUAGCCCGGCGAAAGCCGGAUUAAUACCGCAUACGACCUGAGGGUGAAAGCGGGGGACCGAAAGGCCUCGCGCUAUUGGCGCAGCCGAUGUCGGAUUAGCUAGUUGGUGGGGUAAAGGCUUACCAAGCCGACGAUCCGUAGCUGGUCUGAGAGGACGACCAGCCACACUGGGACUGAGACACGGCCCAGACUCCUACGGGAGGCAGCAGUGGGGAAUCUUGGAGCAUGGGGGCAACCCUGAUCCAGCCAUGCCGCGUGCGGGAAGAAGGCCUUCGGGUUGUAAAACGCUUUUGUUCGGGAAGAAAUCCUCUGGGCUAAUACCCCGGGGGGAUGACGGUACCGGAAGAAUAAGCACCGGCUAACUACGUG